rnacentral:rRNA from 1 species
GACGAACGCUGGCGGCGUGCUUAACACAUGCAAGUCGAACGGAAAGGCCCUGCUUUUGUGGGGUGCUCGAGUGGCGAACGGGUGAGUAACACGUGAGUAACCUGCCCUUGACUUUGGGAUAACUUCAGGAAACUGGGGCUAAUACCGGAUAGGAGCUCCUGCUGCAUGGUGGGGGUUGGAAAGUUUCGGCGGUUGGGGAUGGACUCGCGGCUUAUCAGCUUGUUGGUGGGGUAGUGGCUUACCAAGGCUUUGACGGGUAGCCGGCCUGAGAGGGUGACCGGCCACAUUGGGACUGAGAUACGGCCCAGACUCCUACGGGAGGCAGCAGUGGGGAAUAUUGCACAAUGGGCGGAAGCCUGAUGCAGCAACGCCGCGUGCGGGAUGACGGCCUUCGGGUUGUAAACCGCUUUCGCCUGUGACGAAGCGUGAGUGACGGUAAUGGGUAAAGAAGCACCGGCUAACUACGUGCCAGCAGCCGCGGUGAUACGUAGGGUGCGAGCGUUGUCCGGAUUUAUUGGGCGUAAAGGGCUCGUAGGUGGUUGAUCGCGUCGGAAGUGUAAUCUUGGGGCUUAACCCUGAGCGUGCUUUCGAUACGGGUUGACUUGAGGAAGGUAGGGGAGAAUGGAAUUCCUGGUGGAGCGGUGGAAUGCGCAGAUAUCAGGAGGAACACCAGUGGCGAAGGCGGUUCUCUGGGCCUUUCCUGACGCUGAGGAGCGAAAGCGUGGGGAGCGAACAGGCUUAGAUACCCUGGUAGUCCACGCUGUAAACGGUGGGUACUAGGUGUGGGGUCCAUUCCACGGGUUCCGUGCCGUAGCUAACGCUUUAAGUACCCCGCCUGGGGAGUAUGGCCGCAAGGCUAAAACUCAAAGGAAUUGACGGGGCCCCGCACAAGCGGCGGAGCAUGCGGAUUAAUUCGAUGCAACGCGUAGAACCUUACCUGGGUUUGACAUGGAUCGGGAGCGCUCAGAGAUGGGUGUGCCUCUUUUGGGGUCGGUUCACAGGUGGUGCAUGGCUGUCGUCAGCUCGUGUCGUGAGAUGUUGGGUUAAGUCCCGCAACGAGCGCAACCCUUGUUCACUGUUGCCAGCACGUUAUGGUGGGGACUCAGUGGAGACCGCCGGGGUCAACUCGGAGGAAGGUGGGGAUGGCGUCAAGUCAUCAUGCCCCUUAUGUCCAGGGCUUCACGCAUGCUACAAUGGCUGGUACAGAGAGUGGCGAGCCUGUGAGGGUGAGCGAAUCUCGGAAAGCCGGUCUCAGUUCGGAUUGGGGUCUGCAACUCGACCUCAUGAAGUCGGAGUCGCUAGUAAUCGCAGAUCAGCAACGCUGCGGUGAAUACGUUCCCGGGGCU